CAAUUAAGCUUGUUAUGGAUGAAAAGGUGAAGAGGUCAAAGGGGUAUGCUUUUAUUCAGUACACUAGUCAAGACGAUGCCCUACUAGCUCUAGAAAGCAUGGAUCAUAAGGGAUGGCUUUAAAAUGGCAAUAUUGCUGCAAUAAAGGUUCUUUCACAUGAAUCAAAACAGGGAGUAAAGGACCUCUUGACAAAGAUUAGAGUGAUUUCAGAUAUAGAGCACGAAAUUUAGUCAAGCUCUAUGCCUGUUGCGUGGAUGAAGAUCAUAGAAUUCUGGUCUACAACUACCUUGAGAAUAACAACCUUGCGCAAACACUUAUUGGUGGAAGUUACAGUAGUAUCCAGUUUAGUUGGCGAACACGAACUAGAAUUUGCGUUUGGAUUGCAUGAGGACUUGCCAUUCUUCAUGAGGAAGUGUGACCACAUAUCGUUCAUCAAGAUAUCAAAGCUGGCAAUAUUCUCCUCGACAAAGACUUGACACCCAAAAUUUCAGAUUUUGGUCUACCAAAACUUAUCCCAGCCAACAUGACUCAUGUCAGUACCCGUGUGGCAGGAACGAUGAGAUUCAUUGGUGGAAUCUUUUAGGUAGAAUUAUGGAUGGCAAUUAAAUCUGAACCCAAUGGAAACC